rnacentral:rRNA from 1 species
AUGAACGCUAGCGACAGGCUUAACACAUGCAAGUCGAGGGGCAGCACGGGAGUAGCAAUACGUUGGUGGCGACCGGCGCACGGGUGAGUAACGCGUAUGCAACCUACCUAUCAGAGGGGAAUAACCCGGCGAAAGUCGGACUAAUACCGCAUAAAACAGGGGCACCGCAUGGUGAUAUUUGUUAAAGAAAUUCGCUGAUAGAUGGGCAUGCGUUCCAUUAGGUAGUUGGUGAGGUAACGGCUCACCAAGCCGACGAUGGAUAGGGGAACUGAGAGGUUGGUCCCCCACACCGGUACUGAGACACGGACCAGACUCCUACGGGAGGCAGCAGUGAGGAAUAUUGGUCAAUGGGCGGGAGCCUGAACCAGCCAAGUCGCGUGAAGGAAGAAGGAUCUAUGGUUCGUAAACUUCUUUUGCAGGGGAAUAAAGUGCAGGACGUGUCCUGUUUUGUAUGUACCCUGAGAAUAAGGAUCGGCUAACUCCGUGCCAGCCGCCGC